rnacentral:rRNA from 1 species
GACGAACGCUGGCGGCGUGCUUAACACAUGCAAGUCGAACGGAUCGCAUUACUUCGGUUUUGUGGUGAGUGGCGAACGGGUGAGUAACACGUGAGUAACCUGCCCCCUUCUUUGGGAUAACGUCGGGAAAUCGGCGCUAAUACUGGAUAUUCUGGCUUCCUCGCAUGUGGUGGUUGGGAAAGGUUUUUCUGGUGGGGGAUGGGCUCGCGGCCUAUCAGCUUGUUGGUGGGGUGAUGGCCUACCAAGGCGGUGACGGGUAGCCGGCCUGAGAGGGUGUCCGGCCACACUGGGACUGAGACACGGCCCAGACUCCUACAGGUGGCUG